CACACGUUAGAAUAAGCAGUUUAGAAGGUUUACGCCAGCAGUUGUCUCACGAAAUCCCGCUGUGCGGGCUAACCACGAUAAUUUUACAAAGGCUAACCAUUAUUUUCCUACUCUACCAAAAGCCGAAACAUCAAGUUUCUUCCUGAUAAUUCUUCGAUGUGUUUGCGAAUUUCACGUACAGAAUAUCAAACUAAGGUAGAAAGAUGCCUAUAAGCGACUGCUGCUUCUGUGCCUGCACCUGCCAGAAAAGUGCGGAGAAAGAAGGGAGGCUGCCUUUCUGGAUGCCAUUUCAGUUAAAAUAGUACAUCAUGAGGGACUGCACAGUCACUGUCGUAAUCGUCGCUCUCACACACGUUGCUGUAGACGCCGGUUUUCUUACAAAUAUGUUGGCCGGGUCAGCAGCGUUCCGGAAACUUCCAAAAAUUCCAAAAAUCCCAAAAGGGGUGCGCAACUUUGGUGCAGCGGUCAAAGAGCAAAAGAUCGACCCGCACAUCGACCACAAAAUUGAUGUCAUGUUGGAUCUGGCUCCCAGCCCCUAUGAAGAAGAACCAGACACUGGAUAUAACGGAACAGGCAUCUCGGGUAACCCAAGCUCCAUAGACGGUGUGCUCAUGCAGAUAAAGUGCGGGGAUUGCAGUUGCGGGCUUCCUGUGAGAAUGGAGCAAUAUGGACGAGCAAUGGGCUGCACUCAAGCGGUGAAAAAAUUAAUUUGUUCUUGCCCACCCAGAGUCUGCUAUAUGAACCACAUCGCGAAGUGUCUACAAAUGUGGGCCACCGGAAAGUGCAAGUCGCAACACCUAUUCGUCACUUGCCCCUAAUAUUGCAAUAAAGGCCUCAUUAUGAAACUGC